rnacentral:rRNA from 1 species
UGCGGUUAUACAAAAAUUAAAUUAAUUUUUUUUAGGAUUUUAAUAAAUAAAAUAAUAUAUAUUUAUAUAAUUUAAAUUUUAAAUUAUAAAGUGAAAUUUUAAUUUAAUUAAAAUUUAUUUUUUUUUUAUGAUAUUAAUAAAUUUUAUAAAAAACUAGGAUUAGAUACCCUAUUAUAAAAAUUUAAAUUUAGUAAAUCUUAAAAUAGUAUAUAAUUUUUUAUAGAAACUUAAAUAAUUUGGCGGUAUUUUAGUUCAUUUAGAGGAAUCUGUCUAAUAAUUGAUAAUCCACGAUUAAAUUUACUUAAUUUAUAAUUUUGUAUAUCGUUGUUAAAAAAAUAUUUUUUAAUAAUUAUAAUACUUUAAAAUUUAUAUAAAAAAUUAAAUCAGAUCAAGAUGCAGAUUAUAAUUAAGAAUAUGAUGGAUUACAAUAAAUUUUAUUUUUGGAUAUUAAUUUGAAAUAAAUUAAUUGAAAUUGGAUUUAAAUGUAAUUUUAUUAAUUUUUUUAAAAUGAUUUUAAAUUAAAAUAUGUACAUAUUGCCCGUCGCUUUCAUUAAUAAAUUGAAAUAAGUCGUAACAAAGUAGAGGUACUGGAAAGUGUUUCUAGAAAGAU